rnacentral:lncRNA from 1 species
CUUUGGUAUCAUCAGGGUUAAUGUUUGCAUCCUCUGUGCUGAAAUUAAGGAUGUUGGGAAAGAAGUGUCAUUGCUUUGCCUACUAAAUGUCUCUUGAGUAUGCUUAGCUUUCAUCCAUAAGAGAGCCGAACUUCCCUUGUGAUGAUUAAAAAAAAAAAGACAAAAACUCACUGCUGAUUCUUUCAUCUCUGCAAAAGCAGGUGGGAACUGCAAAGAGAUUUGCUUAUCUUGCUCAGUCAAGGGCUGGUAAAAGUUUGGUAAGCAGACCUGGUAGCUGGUGUCCCCUUCCACAGUUCAUUUUCAUCCUUCUGAAUUCUUGAUUCCCAUAGAAGAAGCCAUCCUCAGAAGCCAGCCUCUUGGGAUUUUCCUUUUGUUUCUCCAAGAUUAACCAGUUCUGUCCUGUCAGCAGGAGCAGGCAACUAGGGAAGGAGAGGCUCUUCAGGGCUUUCAGCAUUUUUCCAAGGAGUGCUUUUCUCCCUCAAUUCCUCACUGGUAGUGAAGCUGCUUUCUUGUAACGUCUUCCUCUUCUUCUGAUGAGAUGCUGAUUCUGAUUGCCAUCUAGCAGCUUCCGGUGGUGGUAAGUGGUCAAGAGUGUUUUUCCGGGACUUGAUCUCAGGUUUUCAAGAAUACCCCCUAGAGACCCAGUCUGUGUUCUGUAUCAUCGCUCGAGCUUUCAGAGUAGCCUUGCUUUUCCCCUUGACAUGGUCAUGUUUGAUCUUCCUGCACUGCUGGGAAAUCUUCCUUUUGGGGGAGAGGAUUAGGUCUGGGUUGAGGUCGGCCACCUGUUGAGACCUGGUGAAAGAUCAGGUAGUUCUACAGUAAAAAGAAAUCGCUUGGUAAGUUUUGAGUUCUUCCAAUGAUGCAAAGUGAUGUUUUAAAAAUAUAAUUUUAAUUUUUUCGUGGAAGUUUAAUUUAUAUACAAAAAGCACACAGGUCUAGGUGUUCAGCUCAAUGAACUUUGACGAUUAUAUACACCCAUGUAACUACCAAGGGUGUAUAAAACAAGAUAUAGAACAUUGAUUUCUAUCACCCCAGAAAGUUCCCCUGUGCCCCUUUUCAUUCAUUCUUUCUACACCCAUUGUGGCCAUCUUUUGAUUUCUGUCAGAUCAGUUUUAUC